AGUGAACGCUGGCGGCGUGCCUAAUACAUGCAAGUCGAACGAAGUGGCGCACGGGUGAGUAAGAUAUAGUUAAGCUGCCCUACACAGAGGAACAACAGUUGGAAACGGCUGCUAAUACCUCAUAGUGUAGGAUGAGACUAUAUCGUAUCAGCUAGUUGGUAAGGUAAUGGCUUACCAAGGCUAUGACGCGUAACUGGUCUGAGAGGAUGAUCAGUCACCUUGGAACUGAGACACCGUUCAGACUCCUACUGGAGGGAGCAGUAAGGAAUAUCGCGCAAUGGGGGAAUCCCUGACGCAGCAACGCCGCGUGGAGCAUGACCCUCUUCGGAGCGUAAACUCCUUUUAUCAGGAUCGCGGUACCUGAUGAAUAAGCACCGGCUAACUCCGUGCCAGCAGCCGCGGUAAUUC
rnacentral:rRNA from 1 species